UUAUUGGGCGUAAAGCGAGCGCAGCGCCGGUUUUUUAAGUCUGAUGUGAAAGCCUUCGGUCUCAACCGAAGAAGUGCAUCGGAAACUGGGAAACUUGAGUGCAGAAGAGGACAGUGGAACUCCAUGUGUAGCGGUGAAAUGCGUAGAUAUAUGGAAGAACACCAGUGGCGAAGGCGGCUGUCUGGUCUGUAACUGACGCUGAGGCUCGAAAGUAUGGGUAGCAAACAGGAUUAGAUACCCUGGUAGUCCAUACCGUAAACGAUGAAUGCUAAGUGUUGGAGGGUUUCCGCCCUUCAGUGCUGCAGCUAACGCAUUAAGCAUUCCGCCUGGGGAGUACGGCCGCAAGGCUGAAACUCAAAGGAAUUGACGGGGGCCCGCCACAAGCGGGGGAGCAUGUGGUUUAAUUCGAAGCUACGCGAAGAACCUUACCAGGUCUUGACAUACUAUGCAAAUCUAAAAGAUUAGACGUUCCCUUCGGGGACAUGGAUACAGGUGGUGCAUGGUUGUCGUCAGCUCGUGUCGUGAGAUGUUGGGUUAAGUCCCGCAACGAGCGCAACCCUUUAUUUAUCAGUUGCCAGCAUUAAGUUGGGCACUCUGGUGAGACUGCCGGUGACAAACCGGGAGAAAGGUGGGGAUGACGUCAAAUCAUCAUGCCCCUUAUGACCUGGGCUACACACGUGCUACAAUGGAUGGUACAACGAGUUGCGAACUCGCGAGAGUAAGCUAACUCUCUUAAAGCCAUUUCUCAGUUCGAAUUGUAGGCGUGCAACUCGCCUACAUGAAGUCGGAAUCCGCUAAGUAAUCCGCGGAAUCAGCAUGGCGGCGGUGA
rnacentral:rRNA from 2 species